GCCGGGGUAGGGUAGUGGUUAUCCUCAGGGAUUGUGGCUCCCUGGACUCGGGUUCAAAUCUCGGCCCCGGCC
rfam:Methanoplanus petrolearius DSM 11571, complete genome.